AACAAAAUCGACUACUGCCGGCUCCACGGGAUCGAGAUCUUCUACAACAUGGCUCUUCUCGACGCCGAAAUGGCCGGGUUUUGGGCCAAGCUGCCGCUGAUCCGGAAGCUCCUACUUUCCCACCCGGAAGUCGAGUUCCUCUGGUGGAUGGACAGUGACGCAAUGUUCACCGACAUGGCGUUUGAGGUGCCCUGGGAAAGGUACAAGAACCACAACUUUGUUAUGCACGGAUGGAACGAAAUGGUGUAUGAUGAUCAUAACUGGAUCGGGUUGAAUACCGGUAGCUUUUUACUAAGGAAUUGUCAAUGGUCGCUGGAUUUGUUAGAUGCCUGGGCUCCGAUGGGGCCUAAGGGGAAGAUAAGGGACGAAGCGGGUAAGGUGCUGACGAAGUUUCUCAAGGGCCGGCCGGUUUUCGAAGCCGACGAUC
rnacentral:lncRNA from 1 species